UUCCACACGGUGAUCCUGCGGAAGGAACUAUAACGAGUUGUGAAAGCGGAGUCUGCUGCUGGUGUAGAAAUGCGCAUGUGCACGGCUCUGUGCUCAAUCCACUCAACCCCUGUGCACCUUCGCAAAGCGAGUAGGCUUCGCCCUUUGAAGGGGGUGACCCUUAGUGAGUAAGGCGAGCGUGUGUGAGCACCAGUAGCCUGAAAGCGAGCGUCUUUCAUUUAGAGAGAGUGCGGCCGAAAGCUUUGAUCUUUAUCAACGCUUUGUGUGUUAUGUGAAUGUAAUGCUCCGCGUGGGCGAAAUAAAUACAACUUUCAACAACGGAUCUCUUGGCUCUCGCAUCGAUGAAGAACGCAGCGAAAUGCGAUAAGUAAUGUGAAUUGCAGAAUUCAGUGAAUCAUCGAAUUUUUGAACGCACCUUGCGCCCUUUGGUAUUCCGAAGGGCAUGCCUGUUUGAGUGUCAUGUUUAUCUCAAACCCCAAGCCUCUUGUUAGGUUUGGAUGGUUUGGACUUGGAGGCUUUUGCUGGUGUGCGUGCUCUGCGUGUGUCGGCUCCUCUGAAAAGCAUUAGCUGGACUUUGGUUUGCGCGAAUGGUGUAAUAGUAACGUGUUCACCGGAAGUGCUUGCCUGACGGGUCUGCUUCUAAUUGUCUUCGGACAAGGCCUUUUGUGACCUUUGCUUGACCGUUUGACCUCAAAUAAGGUAGGAAUACCCC
rnacentral:rRNA from 1 species